rnacentral:rRNA from 1 species
GACGUAGGGCGCGAGCGUUGUCCGGAUUUAUUGGGCGUAAAGAGCUCGUAGGCGGUUCUGUCGCGUCUGCUGAUGAAAACCUGGGGCUUAACCCCGGGCCUGCAGUGGGUACGGGCAGACUAGAGUGCGGUAGGGGAGGACUGGAAUUCCUGGUGUAGCGGUGAAAUGCGCAGAUAUCAGGAGGAACACCGGUGGCGAAGGCGGAUCGUCUGGGCCGAUACUGACGCUGAGGAGCGAAAGCGUGGGGAGCGAACAGG